rnacentral:rRNA from 1 species
GACGAACGCUGGCGGCGUGCUUAACACAUGCAAGUCGAACGGAAAGGCCCUGCUUUUGUGGGGUGCUCGAGUGGCGAACGGGUGAGUAACACGUGAGUAACCUGCCCUUGACUUUGGGAUAACUUCAGGAAACUGGGGCUAAUACCGGAUAGGAGCUCCUGCUGCAUGGUGGGGGUUGGAAAGUUUCGGCGGUUGGGGAUGGACUCGCGGCUUAUCAGCUUGUUGGUGGGGUAGUGGCUUACCAAGGCUUUGACGGGUAGCCGGCCUGAGAGGGUGACCGGCCACAUUGGGACUAAGAUACGGCCCAGACGCCUACGGGAGGCAGCAGUGGGGAAUAUUGCACAAUGGGCGGAAGCCUGAUGCAGCAACGCCGCGUGCGGGAUGACGGCCUUCGGGUUGUAAACCGCUUUCGCCUGUGACGAAGCGUGAGUGACGGUAAUGGGUAAAGAAGCACCGGCUAACUACGUG